rnacentral:lncRNA from 1 species
AUUUUUUCUAAGAAUCAACCUCCUAGUGAGGCCUGCUGUGAACACCCUACUAAAAAUUCUACUCCCUCACUUUCCCGAUCCACCUUGCCCUGCUCAUUUAUCCCAUAAAUGUGUUGCUUUAUAACAUUCUAUGUCAUCUACUUUGUUUGUUUGUUUAUUGUCAGGAGGGCAGAGAUUUUUUUUUUUGGUCUGGCUCAUUCAUCUAGAAUAGUUCUUGGCACAUGAUAGACACCCACUAAAUAGGCAUUGACUAUUAAAUGAAUUAAUCAAUAAUGUUUUCCAGAACCUACUAUGUGCAAAGUUCUAUCAGCCCCCAACACAAUGAUUAUCUCAUUAGGAGCUAAUCCAAAACUAAUCCAUCUGGUCCACACUAUGGUAUAAUACAUGUUCUCUUUACUUGACCCUUGCGUUAGUGUCUGACAUGACUAUUAAAGCUGAGUUGGAAUGAACUGAGUCUCACACUCAGGCUUUGCAGAUGUCAUUUCAUUUCAUCCCCAUGAUGAUACUGUGAGAUAGAGAUCAUGAUUCUCACUUAUUGGGUGAUUAAACUGAGGCUUGGAGUUUAAAGGACCUGCCCAAAGUUCAGGGUCACCCAGCACUGGUUUCAAAGUGAAGUUAUCCACCUAUGCAGCCUGAGAAUUGUUAACAAGUCAUUACCUGAAUGAAAUAGGACAGUUACAGUCAUAACACUGCAUUGCAAUGUUUUGGCUAAGGGACGAUUUUUAAUCCAAUCUCUAGUUUUUGGAUUAUACAUGAAUUGUGAAUAACACCUGUAUCCCAGAAAUUAAAGCUAGUGAUGCUCAUUGAGAACUGAGUAUUUCUCCAUAAGCGAAUUGGCUUCAGAUCAACCUAAGUGGUCUCCCAACUAACAGAACUCUAUUCCAGCUUAUAAUUUUUACUCAUGCUGCUACAUGGGCUGGAAAUGAUUCUCACUUGAAGUUCAUGCUUGAAUCCCUAGAACCCUUUCCUAUUAAAGUCCUGUCUAAAGUAUCCCAUUACGGUAAGGACGAAGGAGAUUGUAAAGGGCCAACAUGAAUUCUCAAGGCUCAUUUAAUGACUUAAUUUCCUUCAGUUACUCUGGGCUGAACUUCUCCUGUUCUACCCACAAGCUUCCCAGAGUCCUCUGUGACCAGAAUCGAAGCAUAGUGUCUGAAAGUAGCCUGGCCACACAAGAUGUGCAAAACACUAUAACCUCUUCACAGCCUCACUCCACUUUGUAUUUGAGGGAAAUGAUUCUAGAAGCUGAAAUAGACCAGAGUUCAACAGUCUGGGAAAUUUGAAGAAGGAAAAAGGAAGAGAGAAAAAAAAAAACCAAGCCCUGCAUUUGCAGAGAUGUGAAGAGAACCCAGCUCUCUGAAGUUGGAAGGAAGUGAGAAGACCCUAUUUGUGGCUGCAGGAGAGGAAAAGAAAAGAGACCCGCAAGGAAACUACCAACAGAUGGUAAAUACAUUUUUAAUUCUUCUGUCUUACUGUGUGGACUUGUGCACAUUUGUCCUGCUGUGUUAGGCUCCCGAAAUAGCUAGCCAUGGAAUUGCAGAACAGUUCUGCUGCAAUUUGAGAUUUAGGAAACCAUGCUAGCUGACAAAACAGGAAGGGCUCAUAGUAGGAUGGAGUGGAUUUGCUCCCAGUUUGCAGCUCCUCAAUGUGGCAUCUGCUGUCAUUCUUAGUGCAGGAAAAUUCUCUCACAUGUCAGGUCUCAUUGGUGAUGUUUUGCAACAUACUAUCUCAAAUUGCCCCCCGAGCCCUGGUUAUAAUUAUUAAAUGUUGACACUAUGCAUAUAACUCCCAAAGAUUAAAGAGAGUGAGGUCCAUUGAUUUAUGAAUCCUGAGUCCUCCAGGGAACAUCACAAACACACAUGGCAGCCAGAUCUCUUCACCUAGUCUUCCUCAUACUUUUGGUAUGAGGUUGCUCUACAAGAACCUAAAGAGGUAGGACACAAAAGCACAUUCAGUUGACUCCACAUCUGAGAAGUGACCAGUGAUUGGUACCAGGAAUGAGUUAGGUUCCCAACCCCAACACCAUCUCUCAGUGCAUCUGCAAAAAAAACCCACAAGUGUCAAUGAAUCUAACUGGAUGCAGGAUAAUGAGGAGAGGGUGGCCUAUUAAUUAUCAUGUGAAAAUAUAGCUAUAUAAUGCCAUUUUAUUAGAACUGGAAAGAUCCUUACAGAAUCUAGUUCAAUUUUUUUUUUCAUUUUAUAGACAGGAAUCUGGGCCAAAGAGUUGCAGGAAAUUGGCAAAGAUCAUACAACUAGUCUGUGGCAAAUUCAGUACUGGAACCUAAGACAUCUCCCUCCCAGUCCUGUGUUUGUUCUCCUCUAGUCCUCAUAGAAGGUGGACACUGCUGUGAUGAGCAAAAUCCAAUUCUAGAAGAUUUUGAUCAUGGCAGCCCGCACACUUGGGUUCUUAUAAAGUGAGAUGAUGGCAUUUCUGUCUGGUCUGUAGAUGUUUGGGAAACUGGUUGAUAUUCUUUACAAGUAAGAUUUCAAGCUAAAAUAGAUUUGUUAAUUUCUGUCCUAACCCCCUGUGGAUUGUUUCUAGAUUAUAUAGCUACCACACUAUUUGGCACAGCUGGGAUCCUCUUUUCAUGAAAUAGCAGGGAAGAUUGGUAGAUAAGAAUUAAAAAGCAUUGGCAGAGGAGACAGGGAGACUUACACAAUUACUUCCUACCCAGUGCCUUCCUGGUCUAGGAACUUCUUCCAGCCUCUUUUGGAGAGAGAGGAAUUUACUGUCUACUUGAUCAUGGUGGAUAAGCUUUUUGAUGUGCUGCUGGAUUUGGUUUGCCAGUAUUUUAUUGAGGAUUUUUGCAUCAAAAUGUGGCACAUAUACACCAUGGGAUACUAUGCAGCCAUAAAAACUGAUGAGUUCAUGUC